AUUGAACGCUGGCGGCAGGCCUAACACAUGCAAGUCGAAUGGUAACAGGAAACAGCUUGCUGUUUCGCUGACGAGUGGCGGACGGGUGAGUAAUGUCUGGGAAACUGCCUGAUGGAGGGGGAUAACUACUGGAAACGGUAGCUAAUACCGCAUAACGUCGCAAGACCAAAGAGGGGGACCUUCGGGCCUCUUGCCAUCAGAUGUGCCCAGAUGGGAUUAGCUAGUAGGUGGGGUAACGGCUCACCUAGGCGACGAUCCCUAGCUGGUCUGAGAGGAUGACCAGCCACACUGGAACUGAGACACGGUCCAGACUCCUACGGGAGGCAGCAGUGGGGAAUAUUGCACAAUGGGCGCAAGCCUGAUGCAGCCAUGCCGCGUGUAUGAAGAAGGCCUUCGGGUUGUAAAGUACUUUCAGCGGGGAGGAAGGGAGUAAAGUUAAUACCUUUGCUCAUUGACGUUACCCGCAGAAGAAGCACCGGCUAACUCCGUGCCAGCAGCCGCGGUAAUACGGAGGGUGCAAGCGUUAAUCGGAAUUACUGGGCGUAAAGCGCACGCAGGCGGUUUGUUAAGUCAGAUGUGAAAUCCCCGGGCUCAACCUGGGAACUGCAUCUGAUACUGGCAAGCUUGAGUCUCGUAGAGGGGGGUAGAAUUCCAGGUGUAGCGGUGAAAUGCGUAGAGAUCUGGAGGAAUACCGGUGGCGAAGGCGGCCCCCUGGACGAAGACUGACGCUCA
rnacentral:rRNA from 1 species